CUCUUCCUUUUUCUCUCCCUAGGGAAUCAGAAGCAAUUAUUCCUAGUAUCUUUUUCUUCCUGGUAUUGUUGUCUUAUGAGCGUUACCACUCCAAACAGAUAAUUGGAAUUCCUAAAAUUAUUCAGCUGUGUGAUGGGAUAAUGGCCAGUGGAAGGAAAGCCGUUACACAUGCAAUACCUGCUCUGCAGCCCAUUGUUCAUGAUCUGUUUAUAUUAAGAGGAACAAACAAAGCUGAUGCUGGGAAAGAACUGGAGACGCAAAAAGAAGUGGUCGUCUCAAUGUUGUUGAGGCUUAUCCAGUACCAUCAGGUGCUGGAGAUGUUCAUCCUAGUAUUGCAGCAGUGUCACCGAGAGAAUGAAGACAAAUGGAAAAGAUU